rnacentral:rRNA from 1 species
CUACGGAGGGUGCAAGCGUUACUCGGAAUCACUGGGCGUAAAGCGCGCGCAGGCGGCUAUUUAAGUUGGAUGUGAAAGCCUACGGCUCAACCGUAGAACUGCAUCCAAAACUAUUUAGCUAGAGUGUGGGAGAGGAAGAUGGAAUUAGUUGUGUAGGGGUAAAAUCCGUAGAGAUAACUAGGAAUACCAAAAGCGAAGGCAAUCUUCUGGACCACUACUGACGCUGAGGCGCGAAAGCGUGGGGAGCAAACAGGAUUAGAAACCCUAGUAGUCC